AGAAACUUAAACAGAUUGAAGAACUAAAAAUUCAGAUUAAGGCUGGAAAGAAAUUAGAAAAGAAUCAGGUAAACAAUAAGAAUUAAAAUUAGAUGGUCAACUUUGACAACGCCUAUGGUAACAUCACAUUCUUCUUGCACGUAUACGAAUAUGUAGUUCUAGCUUAAAAAAGUCCAGGAAUAAGGAUAUAUAGCCUUUUUACAUAUAAUUUAUUUAAAAUAUAUCGAGGUGUUAUAUGAAUGAUUUUUAGAGUAAUCGCGAUGUUUUUUUGUCCAGUGCCAGUGCAAUUUCCCGAAAUAAACUGUUAUUUUCUCAUUAACAUUUUUAUAUUAAUUUUUUUCCAGGAAGAGAAACUUAACACUGAAGACAGUCUUCGAGAAGAGAUAAGCAAACUUGAACUUAGUUAAAAAAAAAAUUAAAUAAUUUUGUAGUGAAUAUUAUAAUACAUUUAUUGAAUUUGUUGUCAAAUAAUGACAUUCUAUAGUUUUUGCGUUAGGGUUAACAUUAAUGUUUGCGAUAAUAGUUUAGUUUUAGAGCUAUUUAGCAUUAGGUUUAGCAUAAGGGAUAGGGCUAUAAUUAACAGAGAGUUAGUAGGUGUUAGUCUAAUGAAAUCUUUAAAUUUGGAAAUCGUGCAUGGAUGUUGAUGAUACUAGACAGCCUGAAAAGAUGACAAACACUGAGAUAUUUCAACAGAUGGCCCUGCGUCAGGAAACAGAGGGUCAGGAGGUGACUUUUCAGGCUGUCGAGUAUCAUCAACAAUCAAUAUUUCAAAUAGAUGAACACCUCACAAUGUGGUAUCUAAAAGGUAUUGUUAAUGCAUAUUUUACCUCCUGUUAUUAUUCAGAAUACUCGCGAGUUCAACGGGGAAAUACAACAAAAUAUAUUAUUUUGAUUUACUUCGUUCUCACAUAUUCUGGCUGUCUAGUCUGGCACGAUUUCCAAAUUUGAAGAUUUCAUCUGUUAAGGCUUAAAGAAUAUCCUGUGAUUCUGGCUUCCCGACCGACCUCUUUUCUUACCUACCGACCCUAGUUCUAAAUAGAUUCAUAAAAUAUUUUACGCCUAUAACAGGGUUCGUACAGGUCAGGAAGAGUCGAAUUUAAGGACUUUUAAGGACAUUCAAGGCCAUGUAUCAGCAAAUUCAAGGACUUUUUAAGGACAUUCAAGGCCAUGUAUCAGGAAAUUCAAGGACUAAAUACUGAAGAGAAGGCGUUAGAAAUCAUUAAAAUGUGACGUUGAAUUGUUCAAAAAGGGCGCAACUUUAAUGAAUUUAUCAAACAGUUUUAUCAGAUAUUAACAUGCAAAAUAAAUUCAACAAAAUGUCCGUUUUGAAUGUCAAACAAUUUCAGAAAAUAUCCAUAAACUAAAGCAAGAAGAUUUUAAGGACUCUCGAGUACUUCUUUACAAAUUCAAGGAUUACGGCCUUGAAUUUUUGUUUUCAAAUUCAAGGACUUUCAAAUGUACGAACCCCUUUUAUUAUAUCUGUUAUCGUUAAAAUAUUAACGAAUUUCAGAAAUUCCAGACUUCCAGUUCAUGGAUUUUGAAAAAAAUGGUCAUUGAAAUUCGUGGAAAAGUCAUGGAAUUUUAAAUGGAGAAGGUGUACGAACCCUGUAUACCGUUUCUCAGGAUAUGAAACCGGAACCACAGGAUGUUUUUUGUUAGGCCUGAUUACUUUUGAAACUUGUCAAUUAGUUGACCUCAGUUCAAUUAUUGAACAACUAUAAAACAACAAAGAAAGAAAAUGCCUGUCAACGCAUCUUAUGUAAAUGCCUUCUCCGACUAUUAUAAAAGCCAAUAUAAACAACAUAAAGCCGGUUUUCCACUAGCGAAUUUAAAAGCCGUCCUUUACCUUGAGACUGCAGACCCCCACGUGACGUCAUAUGAAACCCAAACAGCGACAAGGAUUAAC